CAAAUUAAUAGUUAUCGGCGUAAAGCGUGUUUAAGACACCUAGACAAUAGAGUUAAACCCUUACUACGCUGUAAAAAGCCUUAGUAGGACCAUAAACCCUUCAACGAAAGUGACUCUAAUUUAUCUGACUACACGAUAGCUAGGACCCAAACUGGGAUUAGAUACCCCACUAUGCCUAGCCCUAAACUAAAACAGUUCACAAACAAAACUGUUCGCCAGAGUACUACUAGCAACAGCUUAAAACUCAAAGGACUUGGCGGUGCUUUACAUCCUUCUAGAGGAGCCUGUUCUAUAAUCGAUAAACCCCGAUAUACCUCACCACCCCUUGCUAAUACAGCCUAUAUACCGCCAUCUUCAGCAGACCCUAGUAAGGCACCACAGUGAGCACAAUAACAUACAUAAAGACGUUAGGUCAAGGUGUAGCUUAUGGGGUGGGAAGAAAUG
rnacentral:rRNA from 1 species